GACGAACGCUGGCGGCGUGCUUAACACAUGCAAGUCGAACGGAAAGGCCCUGCUUUUGUGGGGUGCUCGAGUGGCGAACGGGUGAGUAACACGUGAGUAACCUGCCCUUGACUUUGGGAUAACUUCAGGAAACUGGGGCUAAUACCGGAUAGGAGCUCCUGCUGCAUGGUGGGGGUUGGAAAGUCUCGGCGGUUGGGGAUGGACUCGCGGCUUAUCAGCUUGUUGGUGGGGUAGUGGCUUACCAAGGCUUUGACGGGUAGCCGGCCUGGGAGGGUGACCGGCCACAUUGGGACUGAGAUACGGCCCAGACUCCUACGGGAGGCAGCAGUGGGGAAUAUUGCACAAUGGGCGGAAGCCUGAUGCAGCAACGCCGCGUGCGGGAUGACGGCCUUCGGGUUGUAAACCGCUUUCGCCUGUGACGAAGCGUGAGUGACGGUAAUGGGUAAAGAAGCACCGGCUAACUACGUG
rnacentral:rRNA from 1 species